rnacentral:rRNA from 1 species
GUGAUAGGGGGACCCUGAGUGCUCAGUUAUACUGGGCUUUUGCCAAAAUUAAAACCCUUGGCGAAUAAGUGGUGGGUAAGACAGGUGCCAGCCGCCGCGGUAACACCUGCGCCACAAGUGGCAAUCGGUAUUAUUGGGCCUAAAGCGUCCGUAGCAGGUCAAGUAAAUCUCUUGUGAAAUUGUCAAGCUCAACUUGGCAACGUGCAUGAGACACUACUUGACUAGGGACCGGGAGGAGUCAGAGGUAUUCCAUGGGGAGCGGUAAAAUGCUAUAAUCCAUGGAGGACCACCUAUGGCGAAGGCAUCUGACUAGAACGGAUCCGACUGUGAGGGACGAAAGCCAGGGGAGCGAACCGGAUUAGAUAUCAAAAAUUUGCCCAAAUUUUUGGGAUCUAUUAAAAAAUUCUCAAUGUUCGAAAACUACUAUUUGAGAAUGGAAGAAUAGAUUUACAAUGUGAAUUUUUGACUAGAUACCCGAGUAGUCCUGGCUGUAAACGCUGCGAGCUAGGUGUUACGCAAUCUUCGCGAUUGCGUAGUAUCGGAGCGAAGGUGUUAAGCUCGCCGCCUGGGAAGUACGGUCGCAAGGCUGAAACU